rnacentral:rRNA from 1 species
UACAGAGGGGGCAAGCGUGGUUCGGAAUUACUGGGCGUAAAGGGCGCGUAGGCGGCCUGCUAAGUCGGACGUGAAAUCCCUGGGCUCAACCCAGGAACUGCGUCCGAUACUGGUUGGCUUGAAUUCGGGAGAGGGAUGUGGAAUUCCAGGUGUAGCGGUGAAAUGCGUAGAUAUCUGGAGGAACACCGGUGGCGAAGGCGGCAUCCUGGACCGGUAUUGACGCUGAGGCGCGAAAGCCAGGGGAGCAAACGGG